CAGUAGCCGCGGUAAUACCGAGGGUGCGAGCGUUAAUCGGAUUCACUGGGCGUAAAGCGUGCGUAGGCGGCUUUUUAAGUCGGAUGUGAAAUCCCUGAGCUUAACUUAGGAAUUGCAUUCGAUACUGGGAAGCUAGAGUAUGGGAGAGGAUGGUAGAAUUCCAGGUGUAGCGGUGAAAUGCGUAGAGAUCUGGAGGAAUACCGAUGGCGAAGGCAGCCAUCUGGCCUAAUACUGACGCUGAGGUACGAAAGCAUGGGGAGCAAACAGGAUUAGAUACCCGUGUAGUCCCUGUCUCUUAUAC
rnacentral:rRNA from 1 species